rnacentral:rRNA from 1 species
UACGAAGGGGGCUAGCGUUGCUCGGAAUCACUGGGCGUAAAGGGUGCGUAGGCGGGUUUUUAAGUCAGGGGUGAAAUCCUGGAGCUCAACUCCAGAACUGCCUUUGAUACUGAAGAUCUUGAGUCCGGGAGAGGUGAGUGGAACUGCGAGUGUAGAGGUGAAAUUCGUAGAUAUUCGCAAGAACACCAGUGGCGAAGGCGGCUCACUGGCCCGGUACUGACGCUGAGGCACGAAAGCGUGGGGAGCAAACA